rnacentral:rRNA from 1 species
AGAGUUUGAUCCUGGCUCAGGAUGAACGCUGGCGGCGUGCCUAACACAUGCAAGUCGAACGGAAUUUACAUGAAGCCUAGCGAUUGUAAAUUUAGUGGCGGACGGGUGAGUAACGCGUGGGUAACCUGCCUUGUACUGGGGGACAACAGUUGGAAACGACUGCUAAUACCGCAUAAGCGCACAGCUUCGCAUGAAGCAGUGUGAAAAACUCCGGUGGUACAAGAUGGACCCGCGUCUGAUUAGCUGGUUGGUGAGGUAACGGCCCACCAAGGCGACGAUCAGUAGCCGGCCUGAGAGGGUGAACGGCCACAUUGGGACUGAGACACGGCCCAAACUCCUACGGGAGGCAGCAGUGGGGAAUCUUCCGCAAUGGACGAAAGUCUGACGGAGCAACGCCGCGUGAGUGAUGAAGGAUUUCGGUCUGUAAAGCUCUGUUGUUUAUGACGAACGUGCAGUGUGUGAACAAUGCAUUGCAAUGACGGUAGUAAACGAGGAAGCCACGGCUAACUACGUGCCAGCAGCCGCGGUAAUACGUAGGUGGCGAGCGUUGUCCGGAAUUAUUGGGCGUAAAGAGCAUGUAGGCGGCUUAAUAAGUCGAGCGUGAAAAUGCGGGGCUCAACCCCGUAUGGCGCUGGAAACUGUUAGGCUUGAGUGCAGGAGAGGAAAGGGGAAUUCCCAGUGUAGCGGUGAAAUGCGUAGAUAUUGGGAGGAACACCAGUGGCGAAGGCGCCUUUCUGGACUGUGUCUGACGCUGAGAUGCGAAAGCCAGGGUAGCGAACGGGAUUAGAUACCCCGGUAGUCCUGGCCGUAAACGAUGGGUACUAGGUGUAGGAGGUAUCGACCCCUUCUGUGCCGGAGUUAACGCAAUAAGUACCCCGCCUGGGGAGUACGGCCGCAAGGUUGAAACUCAAAGGAAUUGACGGGGGCCCGCACAAGCGGUGGAGUAUGUGGUUUAAUUCGACGCAACGCGAAGAACCUUACCAAGUCUUGACA